UUCCUUCCUCACAUCCGGAGAUCAGUUGUCCAUACUAGUCCUCCUCCAGACUCUCAGUACUAUAAGAACAUAAAAGCAGCACUUGAUUCUGAGUCUGAAGGCCAUGGGUUCCAAACUAAAGACCCUCUGCUUUCUGUUUCUUGGUCUCCUGCCAAACACCACUGCUGAAUGAUGCUCAAGAAUGAUUCUCUAUCAACAAGAAUAUAUCUGUCCUUUUUUGAUUUGACCUCAGCCCCAAAUUAUCAGCAUAAAAGAAAGGAAUUGUAACAGGAAUAAAACAAAUCAAGAUACCACAGAAUAGAUCUGGAUUCUGAAGGGAAGAAGGAAAAUUGGAACUACAAAAAGUCUUCCUACAGGUCUUCAGUAGCCGUAGCUACUAUACCUACAGAAGCAGUUUCCAGACUGAGUGAUGUUACAUGAUAUGACCACAGGGCUGGGCUGGGAAACAGGACCAGUAAUCUGGGCAGGACUGCUACACCUGUGAUUUGGGUGACUAUCUCCUCUGCUACUGGUAUUUUGUCAGCAAUUGGUAUUGGUGACUAUGAGGGAGAUGUGUCCUUUCUCCACAGUAACUGUUCCCCUCAAUGACUAAGGAUCUCAGGAUAGAAGCAAGAUAAGCAGAGGGAAGAGGAAAGAGAGGAAGAGGUUGUGCUUUUCCCAAGGCUUUUAGAUUCAAGAUUUUGUAUUAUCUUCAUCACAAUAAAAAGAAAAAUAAUAAUGAGAUAAUGGUAUCCUGGUUCAGGCCCUCAUCAUCUCAUCCCUGGACUACUACAACAGCCUGACAGUUGUAACAUCUCCCUGCUUCAAGUCUUGCUCCACUCCAACCUAGCUUCCACUCAGCUGUCAAAGUAAUUUUCUAGCAUACAGAUGGUGCCAUGUCCUUCCGGAUUCCAGAAUUCAGUUAUCUCAAAGCAUAGCCAGAUAAUAUAAUGGUUUUCCUAACAGGCAGAUGGAGUUGGCUACAAAGACAGGAUCUGGAGAACACUAGCAUUUGUUUUAUCCUCCCUCACAGGGCUCUCAUUAUCUACAGCAUAAGAUUUUCCAAAAGGCAAAAUAAACUGAUGUGUCUAAAAGUACAUGUAACAAUAAAGUGCAGUACAAAUGUAGGCUAUCGAUCAGAACUCUGGCAAGAGUAGGGAUAUUCCACAUUCCGCCUAUCUUCUGACAGCUCAUUCCAUGGAGGUCAAAGCUAAGCAGAUGAUCUAUGGACAUGAAAAUACAAAACUCACCUGCCUCUGGUCAUUCUGGGGAACUAGGGAUUAUGUUAACAACAAGCAAAUAUUUUUAAAUUACCUUCUGUGUUCUGAGAGAUCACCUUAGUGGCUAAAGAGUCAGCCUCAAAGUCAGGAAGAGGGGUAUUUGAGGAUUGCCUCUGAUUCACACUGUCUUUGUGACCCUCAUCAGGCAGAUUACUCAGUUUAACCUCUCCAUGCUCUAGGUAACUCUCUAAAAUUACAAAUUUCAGAGAAAGUGUUGGCUGGCAUUGGUAGGAAAAAAAAUUCCCAAUGCAGUAAAAUCCCUAAAUCAUUGAAAUCACAAGCCCAAUCCCGAUUCCCUCUCUAACUUAACACUUCAGUGCUAGGUCCCCAAGGGGCAUACAAAGUCUAAAUAAGAUAUGAUAUCUGCCUUGUGAAACAUGUCUCAAACUGAAGAAUUUACUAAUCCCUUCCCCCGCCCCCCUUAGAGGGCAACUUCUUCAGAGAGAUCACAUGAUUUUGUUCAAGAAGAAAGAAUUAAGAGAAUGCUCUUUUUUUCACCCAUCAGAAAAUAACAGGAACUGGAAGAAUCCUAAUAAGUUAUUCAAUCAGUGAAUAAGCAGUUAUUAAGCACUUACUGUUCGCCAAGUACUAUGUUAAACACUAAGGAUACAAUGAAGGAUGAAAGACAGUCCUCUCAAGGAACACAAUCUAACAAUAAUAGUCAAUUUGUGGUAAGAAUUGAUUAGUAAUGGGGCAGGUAGGUGGUGCAGUGGAUAAAGCCCCAGCCCAGAAGUCAGGAGGACCUGAGUUCAAAAGUUCAAAAAUGACCUCAGAGAUUUAACACUUCCUAGCUGUGUUAUCCUAGGCAAGUCACUUAACCCUAAUUGUCUCAGUGAAAGAAAGAAAAAAUAGAUUAGUAAUUUCCCCUCACCAUAUAUGAAUAUAUCUGCCUUAGAUACUUAUAUAUACAAAUACACAUUGUAGCAUACACAUACAAUGUAUGACUAUGUAUAUUAUAAUAUGCUUAAAUAUCUGUGCACGUACACAUAUAUGUACAUAAAUAUUAAUGGGAGAAAGAAAACAAAAAUCUCUUUAGUAGACUCAAUAAAGUUUUAUUGUUAGUCACCAAAUAAGCACAGCAAACAACUAAAUAGUUGUUAAAUAUAAAUAUGUAAUUAUAUUUAAUAAUGAUUAAAUGCAGGCUUAUGAGAUUACAUAUUAAGUAUAAUUAAGUAUAUUAAGGAUAUGUAUACAAGAUUUAGGGGGCAGCUAGGCAGCUAGAUGAUUCAGUGGAUAAAGUGAGUGCUGCAUCUGGAUCCCAAAAGACCCAAGUUCAAAUCUGACCUCAGAAACUUCUUGGUUCACACAACCUGAAAAAGUCACAUAAUUUCUGUUUGUUUUAAUCCACUGGAGAAGGAAAUGUAUCUUUGCCAAAAAAAAAA
rnacentral:lncRNA from 1 species